AAGUCGUAACAAGGUUUCCGCAGGUGAACCUGCGGAAGGAUCAUUAACACGUAUCCAACGUUAAACCCCCCCGUGAAUAUUAAGCGUGCUCUUGCUGCCCGGUCAAUGGCCAGCAAUCCCUGGUAAAUCAUGUCGAACAGUAUUGAUUCAGGGACUUCUGCCCGACGAGGUUACAGCGGCAAUAGAGCGCUUGAAGCAAGUGGUUUGGUUUCCCCUCAAAUUCACUUCAAUGAAUGAAAGUGUCAUUGAAGUGUGAUGGGGCUUAACGAACACUGUAGGCCAACACUGGCCGGUGUCCAGACCGCGGGGCGCAAGCCCCCUUAUCACCACAUGUCAGCGUAGGCCCUUCUGUCGUGGUUGGGCAUUAAAACGAACAACUGUUAACAAUGGAUAUCUUGGUUCUC
rnacentral:misc_RNA from 1 species